UACGAAGGGGGCUAGCGUUGUUCGGAUUUACUGGGCGUAAAGCGCACGUAGGCGGCUCGUUAAGUCAGGGGUGAAAUCCUGGAGCUCAACUCCAGAACUGCCUUUGAUACUGGCGAUCUUGAGUCCGGAAGAGGUGAGUGGAACUCCUAGUGUAGAGGUGGAAUUCGUAGAUAUUAGGAAGAACACCAGUGGCGAAGGCGGCUCACUGGUCCGGUACUGACGCUGAGGUGCGAAAGCGUGGGGAGCAAACAGG
rnacentral:rRNA from 1 species